GACGAACGCUGGCGGCGUGCUUAACACAUGCAAGUCGAACGGAAAGGCCCUUCGGGGUACUCGAGUGGCGAACGGGUGAGUAACACGUGGGUGAUCUGCCCUGCACUUUGGGAUAAGCCUGGGACACUGGGUCUAAUACCGAAUAGGACCACGCGCUUCAUGGUGUGUGGUGGAAAGCUUUUGCGGUGUGGGAUGGGCCCGCGGCCUAUCAGCUUGUUGGUGGGGUAAUGGCCUACCAAGGCGACGACGGGUAGCCGGCCUGAGAGGGUGACCGGCCACACUGGGACUGAGAUACGGCCCAGACUCCUACGGGAGGCAGCAGUGGGGAAGAUUGCACAAUGGGCGCAAGCCUGAUGCAGCGACGCCGCGUGAGGGAUGACGGCCUUCGGGUUGUAAACCUCUUUCAAUAGGGACGAAGCGCAAGUGACGGUACCUAUAGAAGAAGCACCGGCCAACUACGUG
rnacentral:rRNA from 1 species